GGCAGACUCCAGAUUUUGGCUAAUACAAAUAAAAUUCCUGUGAACAUUCGUGUACAGGUUUUUGUGUGAACAAAUGUUCUCAUUUGUCUGGAAUAAAUACCCAGGAAUGCAAACGAUGGUACAUACAGUAAUUGCAUACUUAGUUUUAUAAGAAACUGCCUCUUUUCCAGAAUGGCUGUGCCAUUUCACAUCUAUACCAGCAAUAUAUGAACAAUCUAGUUUCUCUGCAUCCUUGUCAGCAUGUGGUAUCAUCACUAUUUAUUAUUUUAGCCAUUCUGGCACUGGACAUAUAACGCUGAACAAGAUAAUUAUGGGACUUGAACUCUAGAAUUGCAAAUGCUGAUCAACACUAUGAAGGGACUGCAGCAUUGAGAUGACAAGGGGGAGAGACUCAGAUUUAAUUGGCAUGACAUGCAACCUAGAUUGGAUUUUCUGAAAGCUGCAAGAUGAUUCUAAUGGAGCAAAGUUUGACAACCACAGUCACCAAACAAAUGCUUCCUUCACAAAGGUCAAGAAGAAGAUAACCAGCACCUCAGAAGCUCUCUUCAUACACCCCUCAACCACUACUCACUGGAUUUGUUUGGCCUAUUUUCAAACAUUGUAUCUAUAAAAUCAUAUAGUAUGCAUUACUUCGUUUUGCUUUUCCAUUCCACAUUAUGUUUGUGAGAUAUAUCAAUGUGACCGUAGGUGGUAGUAGUUUGACCUAUUUCAUUGUUAUAUAGUAUUUCAUCUUAUGCCUAUACCAUGAUUUAUCUAUUCUUCUCUUGAUUAACAUGUAACUUGUUUUCAGUUUGGGAACAGUAUAAAGUUAUGUUGCUAUAAAACAUUUUUACAUGGCUUCUGGCACUACUAAGUACUAUUCAUUGUUGACUCUAUAACAUGGAGUAUUCAUUGCUGGGCCACAGGGUGUGUGUAUGUUUAACUUUAGUUACUACUGUCAAUUCCUUUUCAAAAGUGGUUGUACAGGUACCAAAUUUGUUCUCACACCAGCCAUUUAUGCAGAAUCCAGUGACUCCAUAUCUUUGCCAACACUUGGUAUCUCAUUAUGGUUUUAAUUUUCCUGUUCCUAAUCACUAAUGAAAUUAAGUUUUUUUUUUUUAAGUACCAACACUACUUUAACAGAAUUGACUUUCUGAUAUCAUUGAUUUAUCUUUAUCUAGAACUGCUCUUCAUGGUAGGCAACUCACUAGUUGAUGCCCUUAAAACUUUUCCUUAGAGAGUACAGAUUUUUAAUCUAAAAAUUAGCAAGUGUGUUAUAUGGACAUUUUCUUUGUGUAACAACAACACAGGUAAAAAUAAACAACUUUCUAAAUAUUAAUACCACUUUUAAAAGCUAUUCUGAAAUUCUUUAUCCUUACAAGUAUUUGGUGAAAAGGUGAGGUAAUUUUAUUGGCAUAAAUGUAUAUCUCAUAAUUAUCAACAAACAAAAUGAAUUCCAACUGUAAUACUCAGACACGUUUUGCAUGAAAAGUAACCUGGAAUGGCAAAUGCAAUAGUAUCUCCUUAUUUUUUAGGCCAUUAAAAAUCAUUGCUGGCUGGGCGCAGUGGCUCAUGCCUGUAAUCCAGCACUUUGGGAGGCCGAGGCAGGUGGAUCACCUGAGGUCGGGAGUUCAAGACCAGCCUGGCCAACAUGGUGAAACCCCGUCUCUACUAAAAAUACAAAAAUUAGCCAGGCUUGGUGGUGCAUGCCUGUAGUCCCAGGUACUCGGGAGGCUGAGGCAGGAGAAUCACUUGAACCCAGGAGGCAGAGGUUGCAGUGAGCUGAGAUGGAGCCAUUACACUCCAGCCUGGGUGACAGAGCGAAACUCUGUCUCAAAAAAAAAAAAGAAAAAAUAAUUGCCACUUCCACCCACAUCAUCAAUGAAGAAGGGCAGCAACAAAUUCGGCUACAUAAAGAUGACAAAUAUACAAAGGACAGCCUGUGAGAAGGGACAGGUUUAGAUUUUUGGCUUCAUGCUCAGGUUUCAUAUUUUCCAAUUUGAAUUUCUACUGAUUUUGAUAUCCUUUUUAUGUUCUGAUUAGGCAGAUUAAAUAUGUCUAUAAAGAAUUUUCCAGAUACAUGAUAUUACAUAAGAUCAUAAUAAAAUUAUUUGAAGACACCGG
rnacentral:lncRNA from 10 species